GAUGAACGCUGGCGGCGUGCCUAAUACAUGCAGGUCGAGCGAACAGAUGAGGAGCUUGCUCCUCUGACGUUGGCGGCGGACGGGUGAGUAACACGUGGAUAACCUACCUAUUUGACUUGGAUAACUUCGGGAAACCGGAGCUAAUACCGGAUAAUAUAUUGAACCGCAUGGUUCAAUAGAGAAUGACGGUUUUGCUGUCACUUAUAGAUGGAUCCGCGCCGCAUUAGCUAGUUGGUAAGGUAACGGCUUACCAAGGCAACGAUGCGUAGCCGACCUGAGAGGGGGAUCGGGCACCCUGGAACUGAGACACGGUCCAGACUCCUACGGGAGGCAGCAGUAGGGAAUCUUCGGCAAUGGGCGAAAGCCUGACGGAGCAACGCCGCGUGAGUGAUGAAGGGCUUCGGAUCGGAAAACUCUGUUAGUAGGGAAAAACAAAUGUGUAAGUAACUAUGCACGUCUUGACGGUACCUAAUCAGAAAGCCACGGCUAACUACGUG
rnacentral:rRNA from 1 species